CUUGAGCCAAACUCAGCUGAAGCCUAGAUCAAUCCAAAUAACUUCUUUCAAACAUGGCUUUCAAGAUAAGAAGAGAAAUAUGGUAUUGAUUUGCCUAGUAAAAGGGACACCCUCAAACACGCGGAAUCCAUCUCUGCUUGUCACUCAGUGCUGCUCUGCCUUUUGGACAAGGCUGCUUGUAUGUGUGAAGUUAUUCAGCAAAAACAUAUUGCCAAGCCUGAAGAUUAGAGCCAGCUUCAGAAAGCCAUUUAACAAAGAGCUGGAAAGAAGCAGCAUCUCUACAUGGACUUAUCAGGAAGCUUAUGCAUCAGAUACUCAAUGCAAGUGCUAAGCAAGGAGGCAGUGUUGACUGAACAGCCACAGUAAGCACUGUAGGGAAAAACCUGCAGCUGAGGCUGGAUACUUUGUUCUGGUAUCUGAGUUCAAGGAGUGGAUACACUGAAAGAACAUCAGAGAAAAUUACUCAGGAAUUUCAUGAUGUGGAAGGGAGAAGACAAUGGAAAGAUUGGCUCCCAAGUUAUGGAAGAGUCUGAUCUCAGUUACCUGAAACCAAACACAACAAGACUGCAGCAGGAAAAGGGAGGGAGUGUUCAUUUCUUCCCUGGAAUGGAGCGACGUCUCAGACUAACAUUUGGCCAAGAAGCUUUACUAUUGCUGGUGUGAUUUCAGAGUUAUAAGGAAAAGGCUCUAAGUGCUGAUGGGGAAGACUUGCACUCUUGCUUCAUGGUGCUUAGAAUUUAAAAAUAAUCCCUUGAAAAAGAGCACAAUUAGAAUCACAGUUGAAAGUGUUGAUUUUUCUCCCUGCAAAUUCUGCAGGGGGGAAAUAAUCUGUGUGGCCUUGAGACCUUAUAUAAUGUUUCUGUGUUGGGACAAUAAAAAAUAUCCUAACUGUUAUUUUGUCUGAGCUCAAGUCUUGAAGGGGACAUUGGGCUGAGUAGGAAAAAAGUUCUAUGGUUACAGCUCUUAUAAUUCUGAGAGCUUUCUCCCAAAUACCUCCUACUUUCAAGCUCUGUCUCCAAACACUCAAACUGUGGAAGUGAUAACCUGCAGACUUGGCAGUGUACAUGACAUUUUACUAAGGGAGCUUACACAAAUAUUAUCUCAAGUGAAAUGAGGGUUUAAUUCUAUUAUCUGUGGCUUUUCUUUCCCUGGGGUCAAAAGUACAGAAAGUGGUCAUGUUGUCUUUAUAGCCCAAGAAACAAAAGACCUGUUUUUAAACCAAAUAAUUAGUCAUCCAGAACUAAUGUCCCACAGCACUAACCACAGAGCGGGCUUUAGAGUGAUCUGAACCAUUUUGCAGUUCUCCAGGGGCAUCACUUCAGAAGUGCUGGAAGAAUGCAUUGC
rnacentral:lncRNA from 1 species